UUGAAUGUUAAAAUGCGUUUUAAACAAAGUUAAGUGCUUAUUACCCAUUUUACUCUUAGUAAUUUAAUAAUUUAAUACAUUUCAUAAUUUAAAAGUUUAGUUCAGAAGUAUCGAAUCGGUAUCGACAAUACUGCCUUGAAAAAUAUCGGUAUGAAAACAAAAUAAGUGGUAUCGCCCAUCCCUACGCACAAGUGCAACGUUUCGCUUUAGCAGUAUUUGCUGAACAGACCACGUGAACGUUCACAGCACUUCCGUGCAUAAAUGAAGCAGCCUUUCAGCUCCGACUCGAAGAUUAGACGUAGAACCUCAUAAAAUACACUGCAUGUUUUUAAUGCAUUGCUAACUUAGAUGUCUGCUAAGCCUCAUACUACAGUAAAUAUGAGCAUUAACGUUACACAUGUUUAGUAUGCUCUCAAAUGGCCUUGCUUGCGUUAUGCAAGUCAUGUUAACCACCAAUUUGAACGAGAACCGAAAAAUGCCUGAAGAAGUUCCUGCUCAGUGCAAGGCUCCCAAAGAUGAGCUGGACAAAUGUGUUCAGGGGAAGGGUGCAGAGGGCUGUAAGGAGCUGCUGGAAUCUUUUGAGGCCUGUGUGAAGGGGGCCACGACAACCUCGUGAGGGGACAUGCAUUUACAUGGCCAUCCUUUCUGGGUCCUCCAAUGUCCUUGCAUUCCCUCACAUUGCACUGGACUAAACCAUUCUAAGGACAGUGAAAGGGGUGCAAGUGCUGGAAAGCAGUGGAAAUGUUUCUUUUGAUCCUGGGAAGUCUUGUUGGUGUCCCUCAUGUUGUCCAUGAUAUCUGUAACUGUGGAAGAAAGAAGAACCCAGUUUUAUUAUUAUUUUCCAGAUUUCACACUGUAAAAAACACAGUGCAUUUCAUUUGAUUUUGAAUAAAUUACUAUAAUUGUUUCUUUAUUUUGCCAUUACUACACAAGCCGACAGAUUUUAACACAUCACAAACCAUGACAAUUAAGAGGCAGCCUACAUAACUGUGAUCACUAAAUAACUGAGACUAAAUAGCUUCGUAAUAAUUGCAUGCAAUGAUUGAUUGACCUUUAACUGCAGUGGUUUGCAUACUGCACACUGUGGUUUCCUGAAAGUAGGCCUGUAGACACAGCACCUGACUGUCAGCACCAUCUAUUGAAGAAAUACUGAUGGUGUUGACAAAACCACUUUCAUACUUUUCAUCACAUAUUAAUCAUGCUCUAGUCGUGUUAGUUUUAUAGUACUGCUAGCGAGG
rnacentral:lncRNA from 1 species